UACGUAGGUGGCAAGCGUUGUCCGGAUUUACUGGGCGUAAAGAGCGCGCAGGCGGUCGAUUUAGUCGCGUGUGAAAGCCCCCGGCUCAACUGGGGAGGGUCACGCGAUACUGAUCGACUCGAAGGCAGGAGAGGGUAGUGGAAUUCCCGGUGUAGCGGUGAAAUGCGCAGAUAUCGGGAGGAACACCUAUGGCGAAGGCAGCUCGCUGGGACGUUACUGACGCUGAGACGCGAAAGCGUGGGGAGCAAACAGG
rnacentral:rRNA from 1 species